ensembl:lncRNA
AGCACAUAUGCAUAUAUUUGUAUAUAUACUUUGUAGACAUACUGCAUAUACAGUAAAUUAACACAAAGAGACCCUUUUCAAAGCAGUUUAUUCCAAAGUAAAAAUAAUAUGAAAUCAUGUUAAUGAACGCAGUACAGAAAACAGAAAUAAAAUAUAAUAUGGGUAUUUUCACUUUCUUCAAGAACAAUGUUUUAUUUUAUCUUUUUAAUUCAGUUACGCCAGUAAGACAUAGAGGAUCUAAGCCAGACCUUUUCUACACUGAUGUUAUUGUUAACUCAGGACAAAUGCUAAUUUAGACACAAAAAUACUUCAAUUGUUUUUUUAUGUGGUAAUAUGUGGUCUCAUUUUUGGCAUAAAUUUGUUCUAAACUGAGAUGAGGACAACAUUUCUAAUGCCAUAAUAUUACUCAGUAGAAAACGUGCUCAGAUACAAACAAACAUCCCCACGCACGCAGUUCAUGCACACGGUUUAAGGAUCAAUGAACACAAGCUCACCAACACAUGCACACACACACACACACACACACAAUGAACCAAAAUCUAAGAACUGUAUAACUCUCAGCACAAAUGAUUAGUCAUUUCAGUUAGUUUGUUAGAUAAUUAAAGAUGCAUUCCAGGAUCUCAAGCAUACCAAAUUCAAAUUCUAUGUUACUAAAUUGGAUAUGUACAAAUGAAACAAAACAAAAAAACAUUUGUAACAAAAGGUUCAUCUGGUACAUAAUUGGAUAAUGCAGUACAACAAAAAACAGGGACCUGUUUUGGCUCAUGAGAACCACUUUUACUGCUGGCGGAAAUUAUACAAAACCUCCUGAGUGCAUCUUUAAUUAGUUAGUGUGUUAGUGUGUUAGUUUGUUUGGAGCUAUCAUGCCCCAAUAGUUAGUGUUUUAUCACUCCAUUUCAGGAGAAGGUUAUUAAAGUGAAAACACAGGGAUGUCUGUCCUCUUGGUGACUCAGAAAGAAAAACUACUGCAUGGCUUCAGAUGCUGUUAGAUCUUACCAAAGGGCAGACUGGAGUGAGGGUUAGAUAAGUGGCAGCAGCAUGGUUAGAAUGGUUCAAAUGAACUCACAUCAGGUCUAAGAAAAGAUACAGGAUAUUAGUAAGAACAAGGCAUCAACGGCCAAAGAGGACUCAUAACUUUUGUUAGAAGAUGUUAACACCAUCAGUCACCACUCAUGUAUUAGGCAGGUUUGAUCUAAUAAGAGAAUACAGGUAAAUGUUUAUGCAGGCUUAAUCUUGUUACCACACACUUCCCAUGUGCACAAUGGCCUUGGGACAAAGGAAAUGCAGGACGGAAACCAAGCACUUGGUUUCAACACCUUUUACAGGUUGACCACACAACGGACAGGGGGACACACAUUUGUCACUAAUUAUUAUUAAGUAAGAUUUUUUUUUUUAACAUACUUAAACUGGUGUAGGAUUUACAUAUAGAUUGUUUUCAGUUGUCCCCCAGGGGACUAGUGUAUGAUCAACCCAAUGAGCUAAUCGGACAUCUUUAAAUCUAUUGAUUUUUCUACUUCUCAUCCCAGAUCCUGGAAUCAUUCUCACCGAUAUACAACCCCAUUUACAAAAAAGUUGGGACGCUGUGUAAAAUGUAAAUAACAACAGAAUGCAAUGACGUGCAAGUCAUGUAAAACCAUAUGCAAUAGAAUGGAGCACCACGACAACAUAGCAAAUGUUGAAACUGAAUUUUUCUUUUGUCAUCGAACAAAAUAGCCACAUUUCGAAUUAGAUGCCAACAACACGUGUCAAAUAAAUUGGGACAUGGUCAUCUUUACCACUGUGUUGUAUCAACUCUUCUUUUAACCACAGCCUGUAAGCGUUUGGGAAUUGCAUUCUGUUGUUAUAUACAUUUUAUGCAGCGUACCAACAUUUUUGGAAACAAGCUUGUACUUCAGGGGGCCAAAAGUAACAUUUCAGCAUAAUUUUCCUUAAGAAUAUAACAAAUAGAUAAACACAUUUUUGUUACAGCGUAGGGUGAUCCUUGUCUGGUAAGAGAAGGAUUUCAGGAAAUGGGAGAGGAUUGUUUCUUACAAAGCAAGAGGUUAGUUGUGAGUUAGAAAAUGACAAGCCAGCCAACAUCAAUUGUACAGGUUAGUAAAAUUAACAACAGGUGUGUUAGCAGACAUUAGUACUGUUAGAGUUUAUUAGAGGGUUAUUGUUAGUGCAUAUAUAUCAAGGAAUGCCCAAAAAUCUCUUCACAGUUGAGAGUUUGGUUUUAUAGGGGCAGGGAAGAUUAUUGCACGGUGGUGUUUUUCUCCAUGAAUAUUGUUCUGGAAGCAGCCCUUCCCCAAAGGUAGACGUAACUUUAUUGGUUACCUCAACGGUGAGGGCAGAGCUUGAAUAUUAAAAAGGGCUGCAUGCUCUUGGAGGGAAUUUAAGGUUUAGUUAUUUUCCCGCCCCUAAACCAUACCCUAACCCUUACCUUAACCAUUAAAAAAUGUCAACGAAGCAGGUGUCAGAGUUGGGAGGUAACCUCUGUCCUCAUCAUCUAAUCAACCAACCAAAUCAUUUCUGCUAUUGGGGUAGAAAUCAUGACUAAAGGCCACUACAGAGAUAAAAUAAACAGAGCCGAAGGAGCGUGGCAGAAUAAUAAAGCAGUGUUUUACGUCACAAAAUGCCCAGCUCUUUUUAGUACAAGCAACAGUGGGCAGAAGGGCCCUGGAAAUUGGUAAAACAACGGCGAGCAGCAUAUAGUUCCUUAUUUAGACUAAAGGGGAAGUAAUGACAACAUUCUAUAUAUAUAUAUACAAAGUUACAGUUAUAUGUGUUAUAUGUAUAAUAUAUACAUAUAACUGUAACUUUGUAAUGGCCUUACAAAUCUCCAAAUGAAUUAACGCACAGCACACCUACAGGCACAAACACAGGCUAUUAGUUUAAGGAUGCUUGUAAUCAGGCAAAGCCGGAAAAGUUAGUGAUUUUUACACUGUUAGUCUAGGUUAACAAACCAGAAUUGUCCCAGUCUUAGAUAGUUCAGUACUCCAGGUACAGUUAUUGAGAGUUACGAGUACAUGCUUUACAAGACAAACCAAGCCUCCGGAAACCACCUUAACAAAAGUGAUGAGACUGUGAGAUACCCAAAACAAACAAAGCUACACAGAUAUACAGACACUACUGUAACAUCCUCACAACACAGCAAUAAUGUUAAAGCUGACAAAUAAUACACUCCAGCAGCACAGACUUGUUAUCACUAUGCAGCCUGUUGGCUUGGUUAGAAGCAUUUCAUUGAAAUUAGCAGGAAGGCCAUCACAGCAGACUAGAUUUGGUUAGUCAUGUUAGAUGUCAAAGGAAUGAGGAAGUGAGUAUGGUGAAGAAGAGCAAGGUCCGUGCUGACCACGUCAGGAAAAGCAGUCUUAAGCCCAGUUCAGUUGCAUAAGACAUGACGGUCUUUCCAAAAACCAACUUGUUUUUUUAUUGUGAUGAGACACAUCCACUUAGUCAGAAAAUAUUUGUAUCCUGUGUUCAGUCAAGCAACUAGCUAGCCAACCAGAUAACUAGCUAGCUAUUUCUACAUAGCUAGUGUACUCUGUUCUGGUACAUUAUGACACCUGAUGGCUACAGUUCAACACGCAGCUCCCACUUUGUUUUUAAGUUACAGUGGAAACGCUCUCACAUAUUGUCUUCUUAAAAUUUUGCCAACUGUCUUCAGGUGUUGUGGUAUCCAACAUUCUAAAACUAGCAAGUUGAAUCUCAUCUGAUCAUGUCUUGUGUCAUUUUAUGUAUCUGGACCGGGAUUUAGUUGACUGCAGUGUUAGUGUAGAAGUGAUUUAGAAUGUGUUAAGAGUUAUAUUACAGAAGGACAGAUAACCAAAAGGAAAGAGUAUAUUCCAGGGAAGGAAAUGCAAAACACCAAAGCAUCAGACACCACUAAUCAUAGCCAUGGGAAGUAGGGGUGCUGGGGUGUCACAUUCUCAACACCCCCGACGAGUUUCCCAAAAAAAAAUUACGUUUGAGCACUAACAAUCUGUGUGUGGUUUGUAUGCCCAUUGGCGCACAUCAUCCGUUCAUUCAUCAUUGGCAUUCAUUGCCCUUAUGUUGACGUGUUAAUACUGCAGAUGGGCAUGCUCCGUUCUAAUCUGAUGCACACAGACUCACGCUCGGCCAUUGCCAGCACCCCUUGAUCAAAUCAUCUUCCCACAGCCAUGACUAAAACUCCACUCUAAUGAGUCCUUCUUAUGGCAUAGUCCUAUCAAACAAAGGCCUGAACAACAUGGCAUGAAGCACACUACAAUUUCAGACACACCAACAACUGUACUUGCAAUCAACUGUACUUGCAUUUGAGGCAGGUCAAGUAAAAUAUCUACGUAAUCAGAGCAAGGUGAGGCACAUCAUUGAAAUAGAAAUACAAUUUUUCUAACAGAAAAAGAUUUCAGAUGGAGGUUUGACUGUGCCCCAGCAGCAGCCAUGAAGUGCAGCCCAUCAGUCAGGGGGCGAAAGCCAUUGGUCCCGGUCCUAGUUCAGGCUGGGUAACGAUUUACCGCAUGGACAACUGCAAGGGUAAUGGUAAUAUAGUCCCAAAGAGAAGGUUUUCAGUUGUACAUAAUGCAGAAAGAUGUGUAGAAAACUGAGCAACAGUGAGAAACUGAUGAACUGAGUAGUAGACAGUUUGACAGGUAGAGAAAAAUACUGAUUCUGGUAAUAAGGUGGUUUUCACACAUUGAUAUGUUUGGCAUGGUGUAAAUACUAUAUCUGAUUUCAGUCGCAAACUAAGUAACGCGUCAAGGUUUCCUGACUAAACCAUGGCAUGACAAAACAGGGCAAGCACCAGAGGUGCAUAUUAUGGUUGAAUUUGACUGCACUUUUUUAUUAAAUGUGUCCAGUACCUUAUUAUCUCUGAAACAUUCUGUGAGUUGAAGCAAAUUUUUCAGCACAUAGGGGAAGACGGCGCCAAUGAUUUUCCUCUAUUUCUCUAGCUCUGGGAUGACCCAACCAAACAAACACAUUUCAUAGGCUGAUCUGGCAUAUGUCGGAUAUAAAAGUUCAUCAUCAGCCAUGAAACUAGAUUAGGCUAGUUGGAUUAAGUCAAGGUUCUAAUUUCAGGUUGUUUAUCCCUCAGCCUUUCCUCUCUGGAAGUAUAGGGGGACAGCACUGUAGUGGAUUAUAAAUAAUAAACACACUAAAUCCCACACUAAUCCCUUGCUUUCCAUCUCACCCCUCAUUUUAUAUUCCCUUUCUCUCAGUGAUUCUGAUUCUGAUCAGUGAUUCUGGACUGGUUGUUCAUGAUGCAAAAUGUUGUUUGUUAAUGAUAAAGGUGUCAGAGUAAAAAUAUGUUGAUUUGUGUCAUUAUCAUUAUAUGAACAUACAUUUUGAACACUUCAGUGUGAAUUUACAGAACUAAUGACAGGUAAAGGAAAGUGCGUCGAAAUGAUAAAGAACAUAACACUUACCUAAUUGAGUGGUGCAGUGGUCUAGUUACUGUCUUGCAGUACAACUUCGUCACGUGGUUGUGGGUUAGGAAAGGUAUUAUCCUCAAGCACAAACGUACCAAAAAACAUUUCCUGGGUGAGUGAGCAAUGGGAUGCAGUAAGAAAUAGAAUAACUUGGCAAGAUGUUCAACGAUCCCAUACCUGCUACAGAGCAGGUGCAAGAAGGGAGAGCAAUAAUCACAAAUUGGACCUCAGGAAAAUGGGAGGGUAGAAAACUGGGGUAAAUUAUGGGUAAUAUAGAAACUAAUAUAAUUAUGUGUAUAUGCAAUCUUCAAUCACAGUAUUUUCAAUGUAGAACUUCAGAUUUUGUGGUCUCAAACAAUUGAGCUUUAUAAUAUUCGUCAUUAAGGGUACUAUAAACAAUGCAGAAUUAUUUUGAAUGACUAGAAGUGAGAAUGUUGUUACCCAAUAUUAUUGCAUUGUUUACAUCUACAUUUACAAACCAUAAAUCCCAAAAAGUGCGGGACGCUACGUAAAAUGUGAAUAAAAACAGUAGGCAUUGGUGUGCAAAUCAUUUAAACCCCAUAUUCAUUAGCUAAUAGUACAAAGACAACAUAUCAAAUGUUAAGUUCACAGUUCAAAAGGCAGCAUCUGUGAUGGUAUGGGGGUGCAUUAGUGCACAUGGCAUGGGUGACAUGCACAUCUGUGAAGGCACCAUAAAUGCUGAACAAUAUAAACAGGAUUUGGAGUAACAUAUGCCGCCAUCCAGACGCGUCACCCAUUGAAAAAAUGUGGUGCAAUAUGAAAUGAAAAAUACAACAAAGGAGACCCCAAACUGUUGAGCAGCUGAUAUCCUAUAUCACUUUCAAUACUACAGUAAAUGGUCUCCUCAGUUCCCAAACACUUUCAGAAUAUUGGUAAAAGAAGAGGUGAUGCAACACAGUGGUAAACAUGCCCCUGUCCCAACGUUUUUUUUGUAAUUUUUUUCAAAAACAAUAACAUUUCAACAUUUGAUAUGUUGUCUUUGUACUAUUUUCAAUUAAAUACAGGGGGAAAUGAUUUGCAUGUCAUUGCAUUCUCUUUGUAUUUGCAUUUUAUGCAGCAUCCCAAGUUCUUUGUAAAUGGGUUUGCAUUUUAUAUAGCAAUUAAGCCAAAUACAAUUAUUGACAUAUGAAUAUUGGGUCUGAGACAAACAAUGACAAAUGUGGGACUGUUAUUACCAUGUCUAAUAUAAUUGCUAUAUGUAUUUCUGAUAUAAAUUAUACCAAACAAAAUUAGGUUCCUCAGGACAUUGCUUAAAUGCCUAUCAUGAGGCCAGAGAAAGCAGUUCACAUUAGUGUAUAACAAUAUAAUUUAGCAACAAAUUGGGCUUUCUCAAUAAAUGACUUGAAUGGCAUUGUAAAGUACAUUAGCUUGUGAAAAGGUGUUACCUUUUUCUAAAACAUAUUUGUAGAUAGUCCUGUGAGUCAAGAAGUCAGUCAGGACAUGCUUUUAACUAAGCUUUACUCAUCUCUCUGUAGGCUGGCUCAUCUUUCCAGUAUCCUCCUCAGCAUAUCUGGAAAGGAACACAGAGCAGGGAGCAGCAGGAAGUGGAACACAACCCCCUGGAGCACUUGCCCCCAAAAACCCUACAAGGGUGUGCUGUACCAUUGGCCUUUCGGACUGCUGAAAUAUAUCCUGUGAUGUGGGAUGUGAGGUUUACUAAAGUAGCUUUUAUAUAUAUAUAUAUAUCAGCAGAUGUAUCAUGUUUUUCCAAAAUAAAUGUAUUCCCUUGUUAAGGCAGCUAAUUCCAAAAACAUUCAAUCACAAAAAAAUGGGAAAACGGGACCACGGGAGUGGAUAUAUUGCACACAUACCCCUUACUCCUACAUCCUUCUGUCUAUCCAUCAAAGACCCCAUGGAACCACAGUCAUCAUGGGGACGUGCCAGCAGGGGUGCGGGUUUGGCCACUGUGGACAUUGAAUAACAGCAAAUAACGCAUUUGUUAAAAUAGCGAUGGAUUUGAACACGAUAGAUAGUUGCUAGUAAUAACAAAACUACAUUGAUG